rnacentral:rRNA from 1 species
UACAUAGGUCCCAAGCGUUAUCCGGAAUUACUGGGCGUAAAGUGUCCGUAGCCUGACAUGUAAGUCUGUUUUCAAAUACUGUGGCUUAACCAUAGGAAGGGAAUAGAUACUGCAUGUCUGGAGGUUAUUGGGGGUUAGUGGAAUUUCCGGUGGAGCGGUGAAAUGCGUUGAUAUCGGAAAGAACGCCGACAGCGAAAGCAGCUAACUACAGUAAACCUGACGGUAAGGGACGAAAGCGUGGGGAGCAAAC